AUUGAACGCUGGCGGCAGGCUUAACACAUGCAAGUCGAGCGGGGAAAAGUAGCUUGCUACUGGACCUAGCGGCGGACGGGUGAGUAAUGCUUAGGAAUCUGCCUAUUAGUGGGGGACAACAUCUCGAAAGGGAUGCUAAUACCGCAUACGUCCUACGGGAGAAAGCAGGGGACCUUCGGGCCUUGCGCUAAUAGAUGAGCCUAAGUCGGAUUAGCUAGUUGGUGGGGUAAAGGCCUACCAAGGCGACGAUCUGUAGCGGGCCUGAGAGGAUGAUCCGCCACACUGGGACUGAGACACGGCCCAGACUCCUACGGGAGGCAGCAGUGGGGAAUAUUGGACAAUGGGGGGAACCCUGAUCCAGCCAUGCCGCGUGUGUGAAGAAGGCCUUUUGGUUGUAAAGCAUUUUAAGCGAGGAGGAGGCUACCGAGAUUAAUACUCUUGGAUAGUGGACGUUACUCGCAGAAUAAGCACCGGCUAACUCUGUGCCAGCCGCCGCGGUAAUAC
rnacentral:rRNA from 1 species